UACGUAGGGUGCAAGCGUUGUCCGGAAUUACUGGGCUUAAAGGGUGCGUAGGCGGCUCAGAAAGUUGAAUGUGAAAGCCCUCGGCUUAACCGAGGAAUUGCAUCCAAAACUACUGGGCUUGAGUGAGAUAGAGGUGAGCGGAACUCACGGUGGAGCGGUGAAAUGCGUUGAUAUCGUGAGGAACACCGGUGGCGAAAGCGGCUCACUGGAUCUUUGCUGACGCUGAGGCACGAAAGCUAGGGUAGCGAACGGG
rnacentral:rRNA from 1 species